rnacentral:rRNA from 1 species
AUUGAACGCUGGCGGCAGGCCUAACACAUGCAAGUCGAGCGAGCGGCGGACGGGUGAGUAAUGUCUGGGAAACUGCCUGAUGGAGGGGGAUAACUACUGGAAACGGUAGCUAAUACCGCAUACCAUCAGAUGUGCCCAGAUGGGAGUAGCUAGUAGGUGGGGUAAUGGCUCACCUAGGCGACGCUCCCUAGCUGGUCUGAGAGGAUGACCAGCCACACUGCAACUGAGGCACGGUCCAGACUCCUACGGGAGGACGCAGGGGGGAAUAUUGCACAAUGGGCGCAAGCCUGAUGCAGCCAUGCCGCGUGUGUGAAGAGGGCCUGCGGGUUGUAAAGCACUAUCAGCGGGGAGGCGUUACCCGCAGAAGAAGCACCGGCUAACUCCGUGCCAGCAGCCGCGGUAAUAC